AAGACUAUAGACCUGCGGAGUACCUGCGGAAGGAUCAUUAUCGUAUUGUAACAAUUGGGGGGGCCACCGUGGGCUGUCGCUGACCCUUUGAAAGGGGGGUCGUGCACGCCCCCAUAGUGUCAUCCUCAUACAAUCCAACUCAUCUCUGUGCAUCACCGCGUGGGUUCCUUUCUGGGUCGAGUCAGACUGGCUCAGAAAAAAGGGGCUUGCGUUUUCCAUACAAAUACCCUUAUAAAUCCA
rnacentral:misc_RNA from 1 species